rnacentral:rRNA from 1 species
GACGAACGCUGGCGGCGUGCUUAAUACAUGCAAGUCGAACGAACAGACGAGGUGCUUUUUGCUCGGAGGUUAUCGGCGGCCGGCUGAGUAACAACUGGAUAACCUACUUCUACGACUUUGUUGACUUCCGCAAACCGGUGCUACUACCAGGGGAUAUACUGAACCUCUUGGAUGAUUAGUGUAAGACGGUUUUUCUUUCACUUAUAGAUGGGCCCGCGGCCUAUCAGCUAGUUGGUGGGGUGAGGGCCUACCAAGGCAACGACGCGUAGCCGGCCUGAGAGGGUGGACGGUCACACGGGGACGGAGACACGGCCCAGACUCCUACGGGAGGCAGCAGGGGGGAAUAGUGCACAAUGGGCGCAAGCCUGAUGCAGCGACGCCGCGUGAGGGAUGGAGGCCUUCGGGUUGUGAACCUCUUUCGCCAGUGAAGCAGGACGGCCUCGUUUGUAGGUGGGUUGACGGUAGCUGGAUAAGAAGCGCCGGCUAACUACGUG